rnacentral:rRNA from 1 species
AUGAAAUUCCACAGAGGACCUGUCUCUCCACCGGGGUCUGAGGUUGCGCCGGCCGCAUCGCCGGAGCUUCCGGAGGACAUCCUGAUGAUGGUCCUCGCCACACUCGAGAUCCCCGACCUCGUGCGCGCUGGCGGCGUCUGCGCCUCGUGGCGCUCUGCGUACACCGCACUGCGCAGCCUCGGCAAGCAGAAGCAGGCCCAGACGCCGUGCCUGCUCUACACCUCUGAAUCCGCCGGUGAGCAUGUGGCGUGCCUCUACAGCCUCAUGGAGAAGAGGGUCUACAGGCUGACCCUCCCGGAGCCGCCUCUCCGCCACCGGUUCAUCAUCGGGUCCUCGUUGGGCUUCCUGGUCACCGUCGACGACAGGUCCGAGAUGCACCUCGUCAACCCAAUCACCGGCCAGCAGACUGCUCUCCCUUCAGUCACCACCAUCGAGUACCUAUCCUUUGCAAGAGUUAGGGAUGAUAAGUGGACAUUGCUGCAACCACAUUGUGACUACCAGGACUGCACCUACAAGGAUGGGUUGCUGUAUGCAUCGAGUACGACGGGAGAAAUUCAUGCCUUCGAUCUUAGUGGUCCUGAUGUCGUUACAAUGAAGAUUAUCAAGGCUCCAUGGGGCGGUCUGCUGCUUGUUUCUAGAUUUAAAGAGUUUGAGGAUCCUGAUGAAGACGUCGACCCUAAAUUACCUGUUCCGAAUACUAGGGAAAUUAAGUUACACAGAGUUGAUGAUGGCGCAGAUAGGCUUGUGGAAAUUGAUUGCUUGCCUGACCACGCGCUGUUUCUCGGGCUUAACGACUCACUCUGUCUCACUGCCAAAGAUCACCCUGCUCUCAAGGGGAAUCAUGCCUACUUUACUGAUCAGCAAUACAACCAAGGACGUAAGAAGAGUCGUCGUGACAUUGGAGUGGUUGACUUGGGCAAUUAUAAUAGCAAGGAGGACCUUGUGUCUCCUCAGCUUUGGUCCAACUGGCCUUCUCCCGUGUGGAUUACACCCAGUCUUACUGUGAUGAAACUGCCGCCGAAUGACCGUUGGCUCAGUGGGCCGUUGCGUGGACUCCCGAAGAUAGAAGAGGGCACCUUGAGGGAUCUCUUUGCCAACCUUGGGAUCCCAAUCAGCAUCGGUCCAACUGGGAUGCUCCAGUGUUUGAAGAAGUAG